rnacentral:lncRNA from 1 species
AAAAAUGUCUGAUUUCUCCAGCCAAAUUUGUAAUAUGAUAUAGUAUCAUAAGGUAAGGGUAACGCAGAUCCACCUAUGUCAACAUCAAGUGGAAAACAAAAAUUAGAAAUGAUAUAGUAUCAUAAGGUAAGGGUAACCCAGAUCCACGUAUGUCAACAUCAAGUGGAAAACAAAAAUUAGAAAGGCAUACUUGCAGAAGUUGCAUUUUGAACCAAAUGGUAUUUAUCUAUGUAUAAAACAGGGUGUGAAAUCCAACUAGAACUUGAGGUGAACAAAAGACAAGUUUUGAUGUAGAUGCCAACCACGCUCUACCUAAUCCAUUAGAAAGCUACAGAUAACAUGAACGAUACAUAUCAAAGGAUUGUCCCCCCUGCGUAACUGUGUCCUUCAUGGCAAACAGUGAAUAACUUCGCUGGCACUCAUGAAGAUGUUUGCGGGCAAAAAUACCAGGGAUCUUCUCAUGCAGGAUUGCUACCCUUUCACUCUUUUACCAAAAGGUCUGAUUGCUCCGGGAGUUCACUGUCUUCGCCAUUUCUGCCAAGUUCCUUCUGGCAGGGGACAUUCAUAGUUUGCUGCGAAGAGAUAAUUCCCGCAAUGGCUUUCAUGGCAGCAGCAGCCCGGUCACUGCUGACCACUUCCUCACCAGAUCCCUCCACAGGUUCAGUAAUCUUAGAAGGACCAUCUUCAUUCUGCUGCGGCGGAGGCACAAAAAAGGGUAUCUUGCCCCUCUGCCAGUCAUGAAGUACCAUCUUGGCUGCUGUUGUCAGAUCAGGUUCCCCACCCU